GAGAGUUUAUAGUCCUGAGAGUUGAAGACUGGAUGACUGACAGCUGUCCUUCAUCACAACAGAAGACUUGGAAAUCCUCCUGAUCAAAACCAUGACUUUGAUCUGCGUCCUCAUCUGGACUCUCCUCUGCUGCUGCUUCACAGAGUCCAGAGGUCAGGUCACAGUGACUCAGUCUGCAGCAGUGAGCUCUGCUGUGGGACGCUCCGUCUCCAUCUCAUGUAGGACCAGUCAGGAUGUUGACCAGGGUGUUUUUGGCCAUGGCCGUUUAUCCUGGUACCAACAGAAAGAUGGACAACCUCCUAAACUUCUCAUUUAUGAUGCUACCAGUCAACAAUCAGGAAUCUCAGAUCAUUUUUCAGGCAGUGGAUUUGGAUCUGACUUCACUCUGACCAUCAGUGGAGUUCAGGCUGAAGAUGCUGCAGUUUAUUACUGUCAGAGUUUUCAUUAUAUAAACGGCCAGCGUCUGUUCACACAGUGA